rnacentral:rRNA from 1 species
UACGAAGGGGGCUAGCGUUGCUCGGAAUUACUGGGCGUAAAGCGCACGUAGGCGGCUCUUUAAGUCGGAGGUGAAAUCCUGGAGCUCAACUCCAGAACUGCCUUCGAUACUGAAGAGCUCGAGUCCGGGAGAGGUGAGUGGAACUGCGAGUGUAGAGGUGAAAUUCGUAGAUAUUCGCAAGAACACCAAUGGCGAAGGCAGCUCGCUGGGACGGUACUGACGCUGAGACGCGAAAGCGUGGGGAGCAAACAGG